rnacentral:lncRNA from 1 species
AUGGCUCACGAACCCAACUUCCGAGCGGCACGCCUACCGGCCGAACAUCGCCUGUGCGCAGCUUGAUCUGCCUACCAUGCGUCGGCCUUGGUCAUCAUCUCACCGGCCUCGCCUUUCAUCUCUACCACCUGGAAAGCCGGCGUGGCCGACGGAGACGACUGACUGUUCAAGGAACUGAAGCAGUGGACAGCUUGCUGUGAAAGAUGGGAGCAUUCUUCCUCUGGUCUGGACAAGCCCAUAUUAAGUGGGAGAUGUUCAAUAUCAACCCGAUGAGAGGCAGCAAAUGUGGAAAUGGACGCAAGUCAAGGACAGCUGCAGACAGCAAAAUAUUGAAACUGAUACGAUUGUGCUGAAUCACCGAAGAUAUGAGCCAGAGUGCGAACAGUAUACUCGUACAGUUUCGCAGAAUAAACCC